rnacentral:rRNA from 1 species
CCUACGGGUGGCAGCAGUGGGGAAUAUUGCACAAUGGGCGCAAGCCUGAUGCAGCCAUGCCGCGUAUGUGAAGAAGGCCUUCGGGUUGUAAAGCACUUUCAGCGGGGAGGAAGGCGGUGAGGUUAAUAACCUCAUCGAUUGACGUUACCCGCAGAAGAAGCACCGGCUAGCUCCGUGCCAGCAGCCGCGGUAAUACGGAGGGUGCAAGCGUUAAUCGGAAUUACUGGGCGUAAAGCGCACGCAGGCGGUCUGUCAAGUCGGAUGUGAAAUCCCCGGGCUCAACCUGGGAACUGCAUUCGAAACUGGCAGGCUAGAGUCUUGUAGAGGGGGGUAGAAUUCCAGGUGUAGCGGUGAAAUGCGUAGAGAUCUGGAGGAAUACCGGUGGCGAAGGCGGCCCCCUGGACAAAGACUGACGCUCAGGUGCGAAAGCGUGGGGAGCAAACAGGAUUAGAUACCCGGGUAGUC